GCUUAACGCGAAGAACCUUACCUGGGCUAGAAAGUGUAGGAACCUGGCCGAAAGGCUGGGGUGCCCUUCGGGGAAUCUACAGUUAAGUGCUGCAUGGCUGUCGUCAGCUCGUGUCGUGAGAUGUUGGGUUAAGUCCCGUAACGAGCGCAACCCUUGUCCUUAGUUGCCAUCAGGUUAUGCUGGGCACUUUAAGGAGACUGCCGGUGAUAAACCGGAGGAAGGUGGGGAUGACGUCAAGUCCUCAUGGCCCUUACAGGUAGGGCUACACACGUGCUACAAUGGGCAGUACAGAGGGAAGCCAACCCGCGAGGGGGAGCGAAUCUCAUAAAGCUGUUCGUAGUCCGGAUUGGAGUCUGCAACUCGACUCCAUGAGGUUGGAAUCGCUAGUAAUCGCGGAUCAGAAUGCCGCGGUGAAUACGUUCCCGGGUC
rnacentral:rRNA from 1 species